GUGCAUCAAGAUAGGAUCUAUCGACCUUGAUAGAGAGGAGUAAACUUAUAAAAUUUGAGAGGCUAAGUUCGAGAGUCUUUGACCACAGCAAUAUAAUUGAUGGAAAAGAGUUUUCAUAGAAAUCAUAAUUAGACUUCAGCUGAUCAAAUCUAUCAUGUGACUGAUAUUGAGGUUUGACGAUUUAUCUAUGACUUGCCAUCUAGUCGGAACUCACGAUAAAGGGAUAGAAUUACACGUUAACUAUACUUAAAGGUUCAUUUUAGUUUUACUGAGUUGUCACUACAUACUAUCAGAUGUCAUUAGU
rnacentral:lncRNA from 1 species